rnacentral:rRNA from 1 species
AUUGAACGCUGGCGGCAUGCUUUACACAUGCAAGUCGAACGGCAGCGCGGGCUUCGGCCUGGCGGCGAGUGGCGAACGGGUGAGUAAUGCAUCGGAACGUGCCCAGUCGUGGGGGAUAGCCCGGCGAAAGCCGGAUUAAUACCGCAUACGACCUGAGGGUGAAAGCGGGGGACCGAAAGACCUCGCGCUAUUUGAGCGGCCGAUGUCGGAUUAGCUAGUUGGUGGGGUAAAGGCUUACCAAGGCGACGAUCCGUAGCUGGUCUGAGAGGACGACCAGCCACACUGGGACUGAGACACGGCCCAGACUCCUACGGGAGGCAGCAGUGGGGAAUUUUGGACAAUGGGGGCAAGCCUGAUCCAGCCAUGCCGCGUGAGGGAAGAAGGCCUUCGGGUUGUAAAGCGCUUUUGUUAGGGAAGAAAUCCUCUGGGCUAAUACCCCGGGGGGAUGACGGUACCGGAAGAAUAAGCACCGGCUAACUACGUG